CCAGCCUGUUUUCUGAGAAAUCAACUAUUUUCCACUUUCAGAUGUUGAAACAGCUCAGCUCAGUAAACCUUCACAGAAGGUCAGAGCUGGUGUUGGUGAGAAGACAAACUGGAGCUUGAAACUGUGCAGAGGAGUAGAGAGCAACAGCAGAGGAGAGGAUGUGGUCACAGAGCAGCCUGCAGAUCGUUCUCUGUGCUGAGAAAUGAUGGAGGUGCAACCUUCCACUUAACCACAACCUCCGGCUCAACCAAUGCACCUGCAUCUCUGCACCAACCCACAACCACACUGCACAUCUCUGAGCUGGGAAAGCUGCUAUAUCUGUGUCAACUGAAGCAACAGAAUGAACUUAAAUAUGUGUUGUAUUACAAACAACAGCUGUUGAGAUCUGGUGCAGAAAUUUGCACUUUAAGGUUUAUGUUGCAGGUUCAGGACAGAUGUAAAAUGAAUUUCACUACAAUCAGAAAGAUUCAAACAUUAUCAGGCAGACUUAAGACACCUAUCAACAGUUCAUUUAAAGAGUCUGUAAGAGAGUGUGUAUAGUGCUAUCAUUUCUAUGUGAACCACUAUGAGACACUAUUCUGUAUGUGACUAUAAACACAAUCUGGCCAUAUACCAAAUACUGUCCAAACAGUCUCUCAUCAAACUGUGCAAUUAUUUUUUACCAGUAGAGACUCCGGUGGGACUCAAACUGAAGAAGACCACGUUCUCCUUUCUCCAUUUGUUUCCUUGAAAAACAUGUUUGUACCAACUGGAGCCACAUAAACAGGAAACAGUGUGAGUCAGUAACAGAAGUUUGGUGUAUUUUGAUAAUUAUAUCUCCUCCUGCAAACUCUUUAGAUGAGAUUAUAAGCUGUUGUUUUCAAUUUUGUGAAUAAAGCUCAUGUGGUUAUUUAACA